rnacentral:rRNA from 1 species
AUUGAACGCUGGCGGAAUGCUUUACACAUGCAAGUCGAACGGCAGCACGGACUUCGGUCUGGUGGCGAGUGGCGAACGGGUGAGUAAUAUAUCGGAACGUGCCCUAGAGUGGGGGAUAACGUAGCGAAAGUUACGCUAAUACCGCAUACGAUCUACGGAUGAAAGCGGGGGAUCGCAAGACCUCGCGCGACUGGAGUGGCCGAUAUCAGAUUAGCUAGUUGGUGGGGUAAAGGCUCACCAAGGCGACGAUCUGUAGCUGGUCUGAGAGGACGACCAGCCACACUGGAACUGAGACACGGUCCAGACUCCUACGGGAGGCAGCAGUGGGGAUUUUGGACAAUGGGCGCAAGCCUGAUCCAGCAAUGCCGCGUGCAGGAUGAAGGCCUU